UACGUAGGGUGCGAGCGUUGUCCGGAAUUAUUGGACGUAAAGGGCUCGUAGGCGGUUUGUCGCGUCGGGAGUGAAAUCCACUGGCUUAACUGGUGGCUUGCUUUCGAUACGGGCAGACUGGAGGUAUGCAGGGGAGAACGGAAUUCCUGGUGUAGCGGUGAAAUGCGCAGAUAUCAGGAGGAACACCGGUGGCGAAGGCGGUUCUCUGGGCAUGUCCUGACGCUGAGGAGCGAAAGUGUGGGGAGCGAACAGG
rnacentral:rRNA from 1 species